rnacentral:rRNA from 1 species
AUGAGAAAGAUUAUUUGGAAUGCAGUGAGGAGGAUAUGCUGCAGCGAGCACAAGAAAUAUAUUUACUUUUCACUGCCCACAGCCCACCCUAGUGUGCUCAGCUGCCUCACAAAGCUCUCUCUACAAAAUGUAGACUUUGACAAAUUGGACAUGCACCAUAUCAUCUUUGACUGCUGCAAGCAACUGAAGCAUCUAAGCCUCACUGAGUGUGAUAUUGGUGGUGAUGCGUAUCUUUUUAAGAUUGAUGCACCAAACUCAAAACUAUGUAUUCUAGAGCUCACUAAGUGUGGCUUUGUGAAACUUGAGGUGGUCUGCCUUCUGAAAUUGGAGAAGUUCAAUUUGAAUUCUUUGCUUUUUAGCUACGUGCCAUUGGCCUUUGGUUUUGUCCUGUCUCUUGAAGAAUUGGAACUCAUAAGUACACGAGGGUGUUAUGAGGAACUUAAGUUAAGUGAGCUUCUAUAUGGAACCACAUGCAUACAUACUCUCACAUUGGAUUUCGAAGGAGAAAACCUUUGGAUGCAACCUGAAAUGAAGCAACUUUGCCCGGCUUUCAACAAGCUAAGGAAGUUGUUUGUGCGUGGUAUCUUUGUUGAAUUUGACAUUUUAUGGACGAUGGCCUUUCUUGCAGCGGCACCAUCUAUCGAGAUGUUACAUAUCGAGGUAUGGGACCAUGUAUGCGAUGUGGGUGAAGUGGAAGAUGAUUAUAGACGACAGAACAACACUGAAAGAAGGACUCCUCAAUGGGAAGUGGACUUUAACGACACAAAGAAUUGGAUUUUGAAAGAGCUAGAAUUCAUCGGCUUCAGGUCACUAGAACAACAAUUUACAUUCAUAAGAUCUGUGUUGCAGCGGUCUCCCAACUUGCAUAAGAUAGUUCUGAAAAGAGACGACGAAUGUGAUUUAUGUGCUGCUCAUGGUGCACUGCCUUCAAAAUUCCCCAAGAAGGAUGAACAAGAAAUGAUCAUGAGGCGAAUUAGAGAUGGCAUAUUCUCGCCCCAAAUAGUUUUU